UAAGUAAUUAUUAACUGUGUAAGUUUAGUGGGUGUAAUUAAAAGUUUAUUAAUAAAAUCAUUUUUAGAAAGGGAUAAAGGUUUCGAGUAUUGGAUAAAGAAAGAAUUGUAUGUGUGUUAGUGUAGUAAGUACUGUGAAGGAAUGUUUGAAAUAUUAGAAAAUUGUUUUUUGAGUAAGUGGAUUUGAUUUGUUGUACCUUGUGUAUCAGGGUUUGUUAAAAGGUUAUUAAAAAUUUAAUUUUCCCGAUUUAAAAAGAGUUAAUUUAAUUUGUUAGUUAAUGUGGAAUAAUUAUUAAUUAAGUUGAAUUGGAAAUGAGAUGUUAAACGUUUUUUAAGAUAUCUGGUUUUUUGAGAUAUGAAUUUAAUUCAGUUAUUUAAUGUUAGUGUUUUUUUUAAGAUUAAAAUGUUUAUGGUUAGAUAAUAAGAGUCUGGGGGAUAAGCUUUGGAUUAAAUGGAAUUGUAAAUAUUUAUAGGAAAGUGGAAAAGAUUAGGCUUAGAAGUAGCCAUAUGUUAAUAAUAGUGUUAUAACUUAUUUUGUAUAUUUUAUGAUUUUAUAGUGGUUCAAUGUAUGUAUCAAAAUUUUUUAUUUAAUAUUGUAAUUUAGGUAAUAAUGAUGAAAUUAGUAUAAUAAAUUUGUUAGUUUUUAUGAAGUAUGGUUAGGUUAGAGUAAGGAAUUAGGCAAAUUUAAUGUUCGCCUGUUUAACAAAAACAUGUCCUCUUGAGCAGUAGAUAUGAGGUCUGGCCUGCCCACUGAAUUAGUUUGAAGGGCCGCGGUAUUUUGACCGUGCAAAGGUAGCAUAAUCAUUAGUCUUUUAAUUGAAGGCUGGAAUGAAGGGUCGGACGAGGCAUUAGCUGUCUCACUUUAAUUUAGAUUAGAAUUUAACAUUUAAGUGAAAAGGCUUAAAUUAUUUUAAAGGACGAGAAGACCCUAUAGAGCUUUAUAUAAGAUAAUUUAGUAGGGAUUUUGUAGUGUAAAUUUAUUAAGUAGUUUUGUAUUUUAUUGGGGUGAUAGGAAGAUAGAUAGAACUCUUUUUGAUUAGUGAUUAACAAUGAUUUUUGAUUAAAUGAUCCGUUAUUAAUGAUUAUAAGACUAAGUUACCUUAGGGAUAACAGCGUAAUCUUUUUAGAGAGUUCUUAUCGACAAAAAGGGUUGCGACCUCGAUGUUGGAUUAAGGUUAAUUUUGGGUGUAGAUGUUCAAAAUUUAGGUCUGUUCGACCUUUAAAUCCUUACAUGAUCUGAGUUCAGACCGGCGUAAGCCAGGUCGGUUUCUAUCCUUAGAAGAGAUGAAUGUUUUAGUACGAAAGGACCAAAUAUUUAAAUGAAAAUUUUUAAGAAGGAUAAAAAUUAAUGU
rnacentral:rRNA from 1 species